AUUGAACGCUGGCGGCAGGCCUAACACAUGCAAGUCGAACGAGUGGCGGACGGGUGAGUAAUGUCUGGGAAACUGCCUGCUGGAGGGGGAUAAAUACUGGAAACGGUAGCUAAUACCGCAUACCAUCAGAUGUGCCCAGAUGGGAUUGGCUUGUUGGGGGGGUAACGGCGCACCCAGGCGACGAUCCCUAGCUGGGCUGAGAGGAUGACCAGCCACACUGGAACGGAGACACGGUCCAGACGCCUACGGGAGGCAGCAGUGGGGAAUAUUGCACAAUGGGCGCAAGCCUGAUGCAGCCAUGCCGCGUGUAUGAAGAAGGCCUUCGGGUUGUAAAGUACUUUCAGCGGGGAGGCGUGACCCGCAGAAGAAGCACCGGCUAACUCCGUGCCAGCCGCCGCGGUAAUUC
rnacentral:rRNA from 1 species